rnacentral:rRNA from 1 species
GACGAACGCUGGCGGCGUGCUUAACACAUGCAAGUCGAACGGAAAGGCCCUGCUUUUGUGAGGUGCUCGAGUGGCGAACGGGUGAGUAACACGUGAGUAACCUGCCCUUGACUUUGGGAUAACUUCAGGAAACUGGGGCUAAUACCGGAUAGGAGCUCCUGCUGCAUGGUGGGGGUUGGAAAGUUUCGGCGGUUGGGGAUGGACUCGCGGCUUAUCAGCUUGUUGGUGGGGUAGUGGCUUACCAAGGCUUUGACGGGUAGCCGGCCUGAGAGGGUGACCGGCCACAUUGGGACUGAGAUACGGCCCAGACUCCUACGGGAGGCAGCAGUGGGGAAUAUUGCACAAUGGGCGGAAGCCUGAUGCAGCAACGCCGCGUGCGGGAUGACGGCCUUCGGGUUGUAAACCGCUUUCGCCUGUGACGAAACGUGAGUGACGGUAAUGGGUAAAGAAGCACCGGCUAACUACGUG